rnacentral:rRNA from 1 species
CCUACGGGAGGCUGCAGUGGGGAAUAUUGCGCAAUGGGCGAAAGCCUGACGCAGCGACGCCGCGUGAGGGAUGAAGGGCUUCGGAUCGUAAACCUCUGUCAGCAGGGAAGAAGGGGCACAGGGCUAAACAGCAGUGAAUUGACGGUACCGGCAAAGGAAGCACCGGCUAACUCCGUGCCUGCAGCCGCGGUAAUACGGAGGUUGCGAGCGUUAAUCGGAAUUACUGGGCGUAAAGCGCUCGUAGGCGGUAUGUCAAGUCAAGGGUGAAAUCCCCGCGCUCAACCUGGGAACUGCCUUUGAAACUGGCAAACUGGAGUUUUUGAGAGGAUAGUGGAAUUCCAGGUGUAGGGGU